rnacentral:rRNA from 1 species
GGGUUGGGCUGUUCGCCCAUUAAAGCGGUACGCGAGCUGGGUUCAGAACGUCGUGAGACAGUUCGGUCCAUAUCCGGUGUAGGCGUUAGAAUAUUGAGAGGAGCCUUCUUUAGUACGAGAGGACCGAGAAGGACAUACCUCUGGUGUACCAGUUAUCGUGCCAACGGUAAACGCUGGGUAGCUAUGUAUGGAGUGGAUAACCGCUGAAAGCAUCUAAGUGGGAAGCCCACCUCAAGAUAAGUAUUCUCAUCACGUAAGUGAGUAAGGUCACGGUAAGACUAACCGUUUAAUAGGCAUCAAGUAUAAAUGUAGUAAUAUAUGAGCUGAGAUGUGCUAACAGACCGAGGACUUGAAUCAUUUU